rnacentral:rRNA from 1 species
GACGAACGCUGGCGGCGUGCCUAAUACAUGCAAGUCGAGCGCAGGAAACUGACGGAACUCUUCGGAGGGAAGGCAGUGGAAUGAGCGGCGGACGGGUGAGUAACACGUAAGGAACCUGCCUCAAGGAUUGGGAUAACUCCGAGAAAUCGGAGCUAAUACCGGAUAGUUCAUCGGACCUCAUGGUCCGCUGGUGAAAGGCGCUUCGGCGUCACCUUGAGAUGGCCUUGCGGUGCAUUAGCUAGUUGGUGGGGUAACGGCCCACCAAGGCGACGAGGCAUAGCCGACCUGAGAGGGUGAUCGGCCACACUGGGACUGAGACACGGCCCAGACUCCUACGGGAGGCAGCAGUAGGGAAUCUUCCACAAUGGACGAAAGUCUGAUGGAGCAACGCCGCGUGAGUGAUGAAGGUUUUCGGAUCGUAAAACUCUGUUGUAAGGGAAGAACACGUACGAGAGGGAAUGCUCGUACCUCGACGGUACCUUACGAGAAAGCCACGGCUAACUACGUGCCAGCAGCCGCGGUAA